CCCUGAGAUAUCCAGCAGUGCUUCGGAUCACCUUAGAUGGAUCCAUGCAUCUCUUUGACACAUCGGAGAAGGCAAGAGACUUUGUGGACAAACUAACCUAAGUUAAGCAAUUGUAUGUAUGUAUAAAUGUUGUUGGAGGAGAAAGUGAGGACUGCAGAUGCUGGAGAUCAGAG